CCGAAAGGUCUGCGCCAGCGAUGGCCGCUUGCGAGGUGCUGCAUGGUUGUCGUCAGCUCGUGCCGUGAGGUGUCGGGUUAAGUCCCAUAACGAGCGCAACCCCUACUGCUAGUUGCCAGCGGGUCAUGGCCGGGGACUCUAGCGGAACUGCCAGCGUAAGCUGCGAGGAAGGGUGGGGAUGACGUCAAAUCAGCACGGCCCUUACGUCCAGGGCUACACACGUGUUACAAUGGCCAGUACAGAGGGCAGCCCACCCCGCGAGGGGGCGCUAAUCCUAAAAGCUGGUCCCAGUUCGGAUCGGAGUCUGCAACCCGACUCCGUGAAGCUGGAUUCGCUAGUAAUCGCGCAUCAGCCACGGCGCGGUGAAUACGUUCCCGGGCCUU
rnacentral:rRNA from 1 species